CCGCGCUCGGACCGGGCGGGAGGUGAGUGCUGAGGCGAGCCGGGUCCUGAGGGGAGCCGGGCACCCUCCGCCCCGGCGCUGCCCGCGGGAACGGCGCUGGCACGCUGCCGCUGGAGACUGGGAAUCUCCCUCUGCCUUCCCUCUUUCCUCCCCCCGCACCGUGAGGCAGCAGGAGCAGCCAUCGCCGUGGAGGCUGUGGGAGCGCAGCCUCAGCCUUGGCUGCGGGGACGGUCGGGGUUCGCCCGCCUGCCCCUCGGGUGCCUCGUCCCGCUGCCCGUGGGGUGACUUGUGCCUCGUCCCCCUGCCCCUGGGUAACCUGUGGCUCGUCUCACAGCCCCCGGGGUGCCUUGUCCCCCUGCCCCGAGGUGUCGGUGCGGGGACAGAGGUGAACCCGCUGUGGGGAGCGGGGCCGGGGCUGCGCCGAGACCCCGCCGGGAGGGUCAGGGCUGGGCUGUACUCGUGCUACAGAACGUGGCUCUGGGCUUAAGGGUGUCCUGCCCUCUUUAGAAAUAAAUAAAUAAAGGGACGAAAUGAUCUCCGUAAUGCGCUUAGAAAAGCAGACAACCUUUACAAGUUUCCACUCGCGGGAGGAGCGAAUCCCAAACCUUCCGCCGAGCCGGAAUUGAGGCCCCGCGCUUCGGCUGUGCGGUUCGUGCUCUGUGUCUUUGGACAAUUCUCAUUGACUCAGGGAAAGACAAAUCCCAAGCCACUAGCUAAGCAGAAUUCAGAAGCAAAUAUUUACAGAGGACAGACUUUGAGCCUGUGAUCACUGAUGUGCUGUAGAGGAGCUGCAGUCUUAGCAAAGACUUUUUCUUCCCACAGAAGGGGAAACAAAGAAAUAUUUUUCUUAUCUUUGACCUAAAAGGUCAUUAAACCUUUUUCUACUCCGUGUAAUAAAGAGAGUUUAUUGUAACAGGUGUUUACAGUUCUGAGAGCACUGUGUGUAAUGUCAUGUUAAGUACUGCAUU